AUGCAAGUCGAAUGCCGAUUAUCGGCAUGGCAGACGGCUGAGUAAUACAUGGGAAUCUACCUCAAACUCGAGAAUAGCCCAUCGAAAGGUGGUGUAAUACUCGAUAGUUCCGUUUACGGUAAAGCUCCGGCGGUUUGAGAUGAGCCCAUGUCCUAUCAGGUUGUUGGUGGGGUAACUGCCUACCAAGCCUAUGACGGGUAGCUGGUUUGAGAGGAUGAUCAGCCAGACUGGGACUGCGAUACGGCCCAGACUCCUACGGGAGGCAGCAACUAGGAAUCAUGCGCAAUGGACGAAAGUCUGACGCUGCGACGUCGCGUGAGGGAUGAAGGUCUUCGGAUCGUAAACCUCUUUUAUCUGGGAACAAGUUCUGAGUGUACCAGAUGAAUAAGUGCCUGCCAACCACGUGCCAGAAGCAUCGGUAAUGCGUGGGGCACGAGCGUUAUCCGGAUUUACUGGGCGUAAAGAGAUGCGUAGGCGCCUUUUUAAGUCACUUGUAAAAUCUCCCCGCUCAACGGGGAAACUGCAAGUGAUACUGAAUUGGUUGAGUCAAGUAGAGGAGAGGGGAAUUCCUGGUGGAGCGGUUAAAUGCGUUGAUAUCAGGAGGAAUACCAAGUGCGAAGGCACCUCUCUGGACUUGUACUGACGCUAAGGCUCGAAAGUGUGGGGAGCAAAACGGAUUAGAUACCCGUGUAGUCCACACUGUAAACGAUCCCUGCUAGAUGU
rnacentral:rRNA from 1 species